GUGGGAAGACUCCAGGAUCCCCUCUGGCUGGAAUCCGGUGGAUACAGCAGUGUUACAGGUACAGUACGUGAUAUUAAGGGCAGGCGGUCAUCACUGGGGGAAGACAAGAAGCAGACGUACUUCCAAGAGGGAGCUGCAGUGAGGACACAGCCUGUCACUGAGGUCAGAGGAGGCACUGAAAGGUUUCCCUAAUAGUUCCUGGUGAAUCAAAGCAGGACCAUAAAGGUUGCUGGACUGCAUCGUGGCCUUACCCCUGAGAAGUCAUCCUGUUAAAGGAGGAACCAGUUAGAAGCUGUUUUCAAAGUUGCUGAGCAGAUUUCAUCUCAACAGACAAAGCCGAUGGCAGAAGAUGUUUGGAGAAGAACUUAAGGCCGUGGACUGACAAGAUCAAAGCAGCUCGUGCUCUGUCUGCUUCCAUUCUGAUGGCAAGAAGAAGAAGAAGGAGAAGAAGAAGAAGAAGAAGAAGAAUGCUUCAGCGAAGUGGCGUUCAUGGUCUCAGUGGACAGUCAUGGUCACACACUGCAUGUGGUUUUAAAAGCAACAUUGUUCACCACAACAAUGGAGAUGUUGUGGUGACCCACCCUCCCAAAUCCAGUCUCAACGACCACCCCCACCCUCCCCAUUUCAGACUCAACGACCUCCAUCACACCUCCCACCCCCCUUUCCUCCUCCCUGAAACUCAGAAUACACACUGAGGAUGUGAGCCGACUAUUUCAGAAACAGAAGCCCAGGAAAGCCCCCGGACCAGACGGUGUCUCACCCUCCUGCCUGAAGACCUGCUCUGAACAGCUGGCUCCCAUCUUUACGCGCAUCUUCAACAGAUCCCUGAAGCUGUGUGAAGUUCCAUCCUGCUUUAAACGCUCCACCAUCAUCCCUGUUCCCAAGAAACCCACCAUCACAGGACUGAACGACUACAGACCUAUCGCCUUGACGUCUGUGGUCAUGAAAUCCUUUGAACGACUGGUGUUAGCCCAUCUGAAGGACAUUACAGGCCAC